rnacentral:rRNA from 1 species
CGCGCAGGCGGCUGGUCAAGUCCGAUGUGAAAUCUCCCGGCUUAACUGGGAAACUGCAUCGGAAACUGAUCGGCUUGAAGGUGGGAGAGGGUAGUGGAAUUCCCGGUGUAGUGGUGAAAUGCGUAGAUAUCGGGAGGAACACCAGUGGCGAAGGCGACUACCUGGCCCAUUCUUGACGCUGAGGCGCGAAAGCUAGGGGAGCGAACG